AUAACACAUUACAGUUGAGGGCUAAGUUAUGUUCAGAAGGGUCCUCCUCCUGGUUUCAUAAUUCAAUUUAGAGGCAGUGUGCUCAAAGGAGAGAGGAGAU